AGUUCGGAUGUAGUCUGCAACCCGACUACAUGAAGCUGGAAUCGCUAGUAAUCGCGGAUCAGAAUGCCGCGGUGAAUACGUUCCCGGGUCUUGUACACACCGCCCGUCACACCAUGGGAGUCGGAAAUGCCCGAAGUCUGUGACCCAACCUUAGGGAGGGAGCAGCCGAAGGCAGGUCGGAUGACUGGGGUGAAGUCGUAACAAGGUAUC
rnacentral:rRNA from 1 species